AUUGAACGCUGGCGGCAGGCCUAACACAUGCAAGUCGAACGGUCACAGGAAGCAGCUUGCUGCUUUGCUUACGAGUGGCGGACGGGUGAGUCAUGUCUGUGAAACUGCCCGAUGGAGGGGGUUAACUACUGGAAACGGUAGCUAAUACCGCAUAACGUCGCAAGCCCAAAGUGGGGGACCUUAGGGCCUCUUGCCAUCGGAUGUGCCCAGAUGGGAUUAGCUAGUAGGUGGGGUAACGGCUCACCUAGGCGACGAUCCCUAGCUGGUCUGCGAGGAUGACCAGCCACACUGGAACGGAGAAACGGUCAAAACUCCUACGGGAGGCAGCAGUGGGGAAUAUUGCACAAUGGGCGCAAGCCUGAUGCAGCCAUGCCGCGGGUAUGAAGAAGGCCUUCGGGUUGUAAAGUACUUUCAGCGGGGAGGAAGGGAGUAAAGUUAAUACCGUUGCUCAUGGACGUUACCCGCAGAAGAAGCACCGGCUAACUCCGU
rnacentral:rRNA from 1 species